GAUGAACGCUGGCGGCGUGCCUAAUACAUGCAAGUCGAGCGAACAGACGAGGAGCUUGCUCCUCGGACGUUAGCGGCGGACGGGUGAGUAACACGUGGAUAACCUACCUAUAAGACUGGGAUAACUUCGGGAAACCGGAGCUAAUACCGGAUAAUAUAUUGAACCGCAUGGUUCAAUAGGGAAAGACGGCUUUGCUGUCACUGAUAGAUGGAUCCGCGCCGCAUUAGCUCGUUGGUAAGGUAACGACGUACCAAGGCAACGAUGCGUAGCCGACCUGAUAGGGUGAUCGGCCACACUGGACCUGAGCCACGCUCCAGCCUCCUACGGGAGGCAGCAGUAGCCAAUCUUCCGCAAUGGGCGACAGCCUGUCCGACCACCGCCGCGUGAGUGCUGACGGUCUUCGGAUCGUAAAACUCUCUUCUUAGGGAAGAACAAAUGUCUAAGUAACUAUGCCCGUCUUGACGGUACCUAAUCAGAAAGCCCCGGCUAACUACGUG
rnacentral:rRNA from 1 species